GGCAACUCGGUGCAGCGAGUUCACGCACCAUUUCGCAGGCAAAGUUGCUCAGAUACGCCGUGAGUUGGACUCUAGCUUAACUGUGGUUUCAGCGGAGGUAACCGAGGCACCUGUCUGUCCGAUUUUGUGGGAUUCUUUCCGGCUUGUUCUUCCUGAUGACGUGGAGGGGAUUCUUGGGUCUGUGAGGGCGACCACUUGCGCUCUGGAUCCUUGUCCCUCUUGGCUGGUUAAGCUGGCCAAAGAUGGGUUGUUGGAGUGGUUUGUGGCUAUAAUAAAUGCCUCUCUGGGUCAGGGGUCAGUUCCAUCCUGUUUUAAGCAAGCUGUGGUAAAGCCGCUACUAAAAAAGACCUCGUUAGACCCAUCUGUUUGUAACAACUACAGACCAAUCUCCAACCUCCCAUUUCUGGGCAAGGUUCUGGAGCGAGUGGUUGCCACGCAGCUCCAGGGGUUUCUCGAUGACACUGAUUUUCUGGAAUGCUCGCAGUCUGGCUUCAGGCCUGGGUACAGCACCGAGACGGCUUUGGUCGCCUUGGUGGAUGACCUCCGCAGGGAACUGGACAGGGGGAGUGUGACCCUGCUGGUUCUCUUGGAGGUCAUCCACCAAGGCGACCAAAGCCGUCUCGGUACUGUGCCCAGGCCUGAAGCCAGACUGCGAGCGGUCCAGAAAAUCAGUGUCAUCGAGAAACUCCUGAAGCUGUGUGGCAACCACCCGCUCUAGAACCUUGCCCAGAAACGGGAGGUUGGAAAUUGGUCUGUAGUUGUUACAUACAGAUGGGUCUAGGGAGGUCUUUUUUAAUAGCGGUUUUACUACCGCCUGCUUAAAGCAGGAUGGAAAUGUCCCCUGACCCAAGGAGGCAUUUAUUAUAGCCACAAACCAAUCCAACAACCUAUCUUUGGCCAGCUUAACCAGCCAAGAAGGACAAGGAUCCAGAGCACAAGUGGUUGCCCUCACAGACUCAAGAAUCCCCUCCACGUCAUCAGGAAGAACAAGCCGGAAAGAAUCCCACAAAAUCGGACAGACAAGUACCUCGGUUACCUCCGCU
rnacentral:lncRNA from 1 species